CUUGUGAAGUCUCUAAUUGCCCAGGCUGGAUUUGAACUUGCAGUCCUCUUGCCUCAGCCUACAAUGCCAUGCAUGGUUUCAUAAGUGUUGUUAGAAAGCUACAUUCCCCAAAAAGCCUACGAUUUUUAUAACUCCUCCCCACCUUCUAGCAGACUUAAUACAAGUUUAUCCCAACAUGUAUAAGUCUUGCAAACAGGACAUUCAACCAGUCUGUGCAUCAGUCACUCCCUGGAACACCCGGAGACCUGUCUUCCUCGCGCUCCAUGGCAGGUUCUGGGGAUGGGGCUGACAGUGGACACUCACUGGCACACCAGCCAGUGCCUACAUCACUGGAGUCCCACAUUGUGACUGUCGCCCUGGGCCAGGAGGCCGCUGUUACCCCAGGUGCAUGACCCUGGCAGACAGUGCUUCAACCCUGAGGCCCAGCUCCAGCCCUUCCUCCCCUGCUGCUUCUCCAGCCUUCCUGUUCCAUGGCCGGGCAGCUUGUCCUCUUCUCCACUGAGUCCAGUCUCUGCAUGAAGCAGAUCUUAAGCACAGCAUUUUCAUCUUUCUGUUCAUCACCCUGGAAUGGGUGCAGAUUCCCCAGUGCCUGAGCAAGAUGACUUCAGGGACUUUCUAGGCAAGACCGUGCCUUUUCCUUCUGAGAGAAAUAAAAUGAGCCGAAUCAUGAACACCCAAGGCAAGGCUUUUAUCAAAGGACAGAGCUAUCGGGCUGUCUGGAACAACGUCAAGAGCGGCAACCUGGGGCUGGCUGGGUGAGGUUUAUAAGGACUGGGGGUAGUGUGGUAGAGGCAGAUGAUUGGCUACGACUCGGGGUGAGGUGGGGAAAAAGCAGGUCUUUGUUCUCUCUGGAGUGACUCAUUUCCUGUAGGCAGGGCCAUUUUAGGAUGCAGGGUUGUUGGGACCAUUUUAUCUAGCAGAGAACUCUAUCACCUUCCACGGUUCCUCGUCCUCUAGCGUCCUGUGUUGGGUUUUCCCAGAAGACAACUUUAAGAGGAGGAUUUGAGUCCAAGGGAUUUAUUUUGGGGGUGAAGUGAGUGGUUUCCCCCAUGAGCACCUGCAUGACCACACAGCAUCUCUGAAUUACCCCAUGCAGGGAAGGUGAGCGAGCAUGGGGGUUCCCCUCCAUUCCCUGGGGUCAUCAGGUGGAGCUGCGGUGGCAUGGCCAGCUGCCAGGGCAUGCCUGUCAUGGUGAGCAGCAAAGCUGUCGUCUUGGUGACUUUGGAAGCCUCGGGAGGAAGCACUCAGGUCAGCAAUGGGCUUCCUAGGGUCCUUAUGCUUGGCUCACGACUUGCAGUUAGAGCCCCACAGGAGAUGCUGACAGCCCCUAGCCCCUCCUCCAGGCACAGGGGCGUCUGCAGAGGUCUUACUCACUGCUUCGCUCUUUACCAAUUCCAGAAUUACAGUUGAUUAUCCUCUGUUUGGUGAGCCUGCUCUCAUCUGAAAGACCAUGAACUAGGUGCUAUGGUGGCAAUCAGCCAAGGGUUCUUUUGCUCAAUUCAUAUGGAAAUUAUGACUUGGCAAAGUGCAGUUCUGCUGGCAGCCCUGAUUUCACCAGAUGCCAACAGGUGAUGCAGCCAGCUGCUGCCAGCUAUCACCUUCCAGCACCAGCUUAGGCUGGACACUGUAAAUGAGCUCUAAUGGGUGCUGGUCACUGCCACUGCCGGCCACCACCUGGUCUCUGCUGCUGGUCUCUGGAGCUCUUUGGUAUCAACAGCUCUUCGUGUUUCUUCUCUUUCUUUGGAAAUGACCGCUGUGUCUGUGCUACUCAGGGUACAAGUCCCAAGUGGGUUUACAGGACUUCUGGAGCCCACACUACCCAAGAAAUAAAUCGUGAACAGGUUUACAGGACCUCCAAGGCGGCCGGCCUAUGGGAGAAGAACUAACCAGACAGAGCUGCUCAAGACCCUUUCCAGCUGGGCAACCCAUAGGAACAGAAACGAAGGUGGCUCGAGCCUGGGGUUAAACCGGCAGAAUCACGUGCGGAAUCACAUUGGCAGCCCCAGGCGGGUCUUAGCGGGAGAAUCUGCCUCCAAGACCCAGCCCUUGCAGACCGAGGCCAGCUUCCAGCAUGGCUGUGACUGGCCAAGGGUCACUCACUCCCACGCUUUCCAACACAGCUGGGUGCAAGCCAAGGAGGCAAGCAGCAGAGUCAAUCUUUUCCAAGCUCUCUGUGGAAUGGAUGUCACUUAUCCAUGCCCUGUGCCAUAUUUUAUUGGUUAGAAACAACUCAUUAGGCGCGCACCCUGGGGGAGGUGGCUACAUAAUAAGCCCAGGAACACAGGAAGUAGAUCACGGAGGGAUGCCUGAGAAGUCUGCCUACCACAGUGUCUUCAGCCCCUGGUUACAGCAGGUGCUCAAUAAUGUUCGUCAUUUUGGAUUUUGGUGUUCCUACCACAACAGGACUAGUUGGAAAAUUGCACUACAAAAAUAAUAAACUUCAGGGCCGGGGAUUUAGCUCAGUGGUUCCACAGCCUGCUUUGCAAGGACAAGGACCUGAGUUUGUUCGCCGGUACCAAAAAUAAAUAAAUAAAUAAACUUCAGGUGUUAGAGGGGGCUGAUCUGAUGGGAAAUUCUGUUCUCUCUGGGGGACAAAUUCACCAGGAAUUCAGUCCUGUCCUCAUGGCUGGACUGUCCUGGGGGUGAGCCUAUAUCCUUUACCUCAACACCUUCAACAUUUAGCAGAGCCUCCUCAACACAUGAAAGGAGCUUGGAGAGCAUGGAAUGGAUUAUGGAUGGAGGAAUGGUCAAGAGAACGAUAAACUCUCUACUCCUCAGACACCCUCUGUCCACCAACCAGGAUAUACUUUUUUUUGGUGUGUGUGCUGGUGGGAAUUGAACCCAGAGCCUUGGGCAUACUAGGCAAAUGCUGUACACUGAGCUGGGCCCUCGGCACCAGGCUCCAGGUUUAACAAAACAUGGACUUUGAAAAGUGGGCACAGAAAGGGGAAAUCUACUACUUCACUAACAGUUUUUUUGACUGAACAGGUGUCAACAAGGCUUUCCCCAUGUUGGCCCUGGGUGUUUUCAUCUCUCAAUCAUACUUUUCAAAAUCCUAAUCUGAGAAAAAUCUAUAUUAUGAACAAAUAGAAACUGUACCAAGUAAAAUCUGAGCAUGCCAUAAUGGUCAGAAGGAGUCUUCCCGGCCCAGGCCCUGGGCAAAUGGGAUUUAGAAUCUCGAUUAUCUGUAGAUGUUUAGUAGAAAGAACUGAGGCACUGAAUGUACUCUAAGGAGUUGUGUUGCGCUUGUGGCUUUUAUCCGGAUAUCCCCCAAAAGCCUUGAGUGCUCACAGACUGGGCUUUGGAGGAUGGCAAUCAGGGGCUGAUGUCGCCCUUGUUGCUAGGAGACUGGGUUGCUAGGAGACCGGGUUGGCUCAGAAGAGGUGGGCUUGCUGGGGGUGACAUGGAGGGGGUGAACCCCCCUCCUACCCUCCCCUGCUUCCUCACCACCAUGACGUGAGCAGCUUUCCUGCCACCAGGCCAUGUCUGUGUUUCCUCCUGCCAAUCAUGGACUGAAACUUCUGAAACUAUGAGCCAAAAUAAACCUCUACUCCUUUGAGCUGCAUUGAGUCUUAAUGAUGAAGACAGUGAGUAAGACAUACAGGGCUUUAGAGCUAGGGUCGGGCGGAAGAGGGAAUCCACAUUAAGCCUUGUCCAGGUUCUUCUCUACACAAGGACAUAUAUCAGGUUUUGGAAGUAAAAGUCUGGGACUGCAGUAGGUGUUAAGAAAGUGAGCUGGGCGUGGUGAUGCAUGCCUGUCAUCCUAGCACCUGGGAGGCUGAGGCAGGAGGAUUGCAAAUUUUAGCUCCACCCGGGGAAUUUAGCAAGACCCUUUCUCAAAAUAAAAAAAAAUAAAAUAAAAAAGGGCUGGGAAAGUAAUGGGCAAAGACCUGGUUUUGAUCCCAGUAGUGAAAAACAGAAUGUGAUCAAGGAUUGGGAUGUAGCUCAGUAGUAGAGUGCUUGCCAUGAGAGGCACGUGAGAGGCCCUGGGUUUCACCCCAGGACCACAGGGGAGGAGGCUCACACUGUUUUGUCAUUUGCCACAGGUGAAAUGCUGGCUAGAAAAGGAAGUUUAUUCAUCAAGAGAAAUGAGUGCUUAGUUUUAGAACAGAUACACCUUCUCUCUUCCUUUCCCCUUACUUCUUCUCCUCUUUCUCUUCCUUCUUUCCAGCAUACACACGUGCUGUCUCCCUGGGAAGUGCCCUCAAAACACCAAAGCUUUUCUGAGCCAUUCUCUUAUUUUUAGAGCAAAUCAACAUUCCAAAGGGUAACCCCACACGCAAAACCAGAUAGCACUUCCACUGGCAUGAACAGAUAUUUCAAUAUUGCUUUUUAUAACUUUUCUCACUUGGCUAUCUUGCAGCAGCUGCUGCUAAAGACAGAGGCUUUAGCUGAAUUCUGCACACAUAUUUGGGAAGGAUGUCACCCCCGCCUCAGCCCUGGCCACGCCUGAGUAUGCACAAUGUUGAACUGGUCCGGGGUGGUCCGGGAGAAAGUAAGAGCAGAUUUUCUUUUCUUUGGAGAAGGUGCCUGCCGUUUCCUUUCUGUCAAGGAGGAGGGAUUUCCUGAUUCCACACACAAAAGAUAUUUGUGGAAAGUCACACAGCCACUGACAUGACCAGCGGGUUUGGUUGUCCCUUUGUUUGGGGCGAUUUGCACUGCGUGGCUUGGUGCUGGUGGCCUAUGAGUCAGCUGGGCUGUGUACUUUGUAAGCAUGACAAGGGGGUUCCCGAGAACUACACAUUUUGCACAACAAAUCUCUUAAGUAAAUAAUGGAAAAUGAUGGUUUAUUUUAAGCCCUUUGAAAAGUUGGAAAAUGAUGCAAUCGGAAAGAGCCCAUCUGUUCUUAGUCAGCUUUUGACCUUUGACUAUGUAAACAAGAAACAGAGGAGCAAGAGCGAGGGCCUGGCCUGACUGCUACCCAGAUGGACAGACAGCGUCUUGCCAUGCAGCUGACAGACGCGAUUAGGACGCCACUGCAUGUAACAGGACACUCGGUCAUUUAUUCACCAGUGCAGCUGCUCAGUAUCUGGCAAUUUCGGCACAGUACUUGUUUUUCUUUCCUUUUGAACCACGCGGAGGCCCUGGGUUGGGUGUUAUAAUAUGUAACACGAUGUAGGAAGGGUCUGUAUCUCAGGUCAGCCUCUGUAAAAAGAGGGGGCUGCACCUGCUCCAAAAUGCUGAUGGCAACCUGGGUAUGGUGGUGCACAUCUCUAAUCCCAGCACUGUGGGAGGCUGAGGCAGGAGGACAAAAAAAUUUGAGCCCAGUCUGGACAACUGAGAAACUUAGCAAGACCUUGUCACAAACAAACAAACAAACAAACAACAAAGCUAUGACAAAGGUACUAUAGCUAAACGGAAGCCCAGAGAGGUUCACUUGCCAUAAGUCUCACAGCUAGAACCCAGCAGUUUGUUCCUAGAGCUGCCCUCUCAACCACCUCGACACGGAUGCCCAUGAGACAGAGGGACACUGGGACACUGGAGAGUUGCAUAAGAAUCCUAAAACCUUGCCGGGUAUGGUGGCACACACCUGUAAUCCCAGCACUCGGGAGGCUGAGGCAGGAGGAUCACUAAACGUUGGAGGCCA